GCCAGACUCCUACGGGAGGCAGCAGUGGGGGAUACUGCACAAUGGGGGGAACCCUGAUGCAGCGACGCCGCGUGGGUGAAGGAGCGUUUCGGCGCGUAAAGCCCUCUCGGCAGGGAAGAAGGAGGACGGUACCUGACUAAGAAGCCCCGGCUAACUACGUGCCAGCAGCCGCGGUAAUACGUAGGGGGCAAGCGUUAUCCGGAUUUACUGGGUGUAAAGGGAGCGCAGGCGGUUCUGCAAGUCUGAUGUGAAAGCCCGGGGCUCAACCGCGGGACUGCAUUGGAAACUGCGGGACUGGAGUGUCGGAGGGGUAAGCGGAAUUCCUAGUGUAGCGGUGAAAUGCGUAGAUAUUAGGAGGAACACCAGUGGCGAAGGCGGCUUACUGGACUGUAACUGACGUUGAGGCUCGAAAGCGUGGGGAGCAAACAGGAUUAGAUACCCUGGUA
rnacentral:rRNA from 1 species